GACGAACGCUGGCGGCGUGCUUAACACAUGCAAGUCGAACGGUGAAGCUCCAGCUUGCUGGAGUGGAUCAGUGGCGAACGGGUGAGUAACACGUGAGCAACCUGCCCCUGACUCUGGAAUAAGCGCUGGAAACGGCGUCUAAUACUGGAUACGAGAAGGGUCCGCAUGGUCACUUUCGGAAAGUUUUUUCGGUUGGGGAUGGGCUCGCGGCCUAUCAGCUUGUUGGUGAGGUAAUGGCUCACCAAGGCGACGACGGGUAGCCGGCCUGAGAGGGCGACCGGCCACACUGGGACUGAGACACGGCCCAGACUCCUACGGGAGGCAGCAGUGGGGAAUAUUGCACAAUGGGCGAAAGCCUGAUGCAGCGACGCCGCGUGAGGGAUGACGGCCUUCGGGUUGUAAACCUCUUUCAGCAGGGAAGAAGCGAAAGUGACGGUACCUGCAGAAGAAGCACCGGCUAACUACGUG
rnacentral:rRNA from 1 species